GGGCUUAUAGCUCAGUUGGUAGAGCGCUGCUCUUACAAAGCAGAUGUCUACGGUUCAAGUCCGUAUGAGCCCA
rnacentral:tRNA from 1 species